rnacentral:rRNA from 1 species
UGGGGAAUAUUGCACAAUGGGCGCAAGCCUGAUGCAGCCAUACCGCGUGUGUGAAGAAGGCCUUCGGGUUGUAAAGCACUUUCAGCGAGGAGGAAGGUGGUGAGCUUAAUACGCUCAUCAAUUGGCGUUACUCGCAGAAGAAGCACCGGCUAACUCCGUGCCAGCAGCCGCGGUAAUACGGAGGGUGCAAGCGUUAAUCGGAAUUACUGGGCGUAAAGCGCACGCAGGCGGUUUGUUAAGUCAGAUGUGAAAUCCCCGGGCUCAACCUGGGAACUGCAUUUGAAACUGGCAAGCUAGAGUCUCGUAGAGGGGGGUAGAAUUCCAGGUGUAGCGGUGAAAUGCGUAGAGAUCUGGAGGAAUACCGGUGGCGAAGGCGGCCCCCUGGACGAAGACUGACGCUCAGGUGCGAAAGCGUGGGGAGCAAAACAGGAUUAGAUACCCUGGUAGUCCACGCUGUAAAACGAUGUCGAUUUGGAGGUUGUGCCCUUGAGGCGUGGCUUCCGGAGCUAACGCGUUAAAUCGACCGCCUGGGGAGUACGGCCGCAAGGUUAAAAACUUAAAAUG